rnacentral:lncRNA from 1 species
CUGCGGUCCACGGCGCCGGGCCGCAUGGAGGGGCUGAGCAGGCUGCCCCCGCCGCACCUGCCAAGAAGGCGCCCUCUGAGUGGCUGCCGCGACGAGGGGCCGAAGGGCAUCAGCGGCUCGGGCUCCCCGCGGGGCGGGAGCAGCGGGGCCAGCAGGCUGACUGGCUUGCCGGCCGGCCAAUCGGGGCGGCCCGCCAGCCGGGUGCCCUUCGGUGAUUGGUCGGCGGCCGAGGCGACGGGACGGACGGCGUCCCCCGGCGUCAGCUGCAUGAGGGGAGGGGGCUUCGGCAGGGAGAACGGCAGCGGCUGCGGGGAGGCCGUGGCCGCCGCCGCCGCCGAGUCCCCUCCGGACAUCCUGGCCGCCGGGCCCGCCGCCGGGAGCCCUUUCCCGCCUGCCCUGGCGGCCGCCGGCCGGGGACGGCGAGGAGCGGGCGGAUAGAGAGAGAAAGGGAGGCCCCGCGGCGGAGCCGAGUAGAGAAAGCGGCGGCCGGCCGGCGGCGGAGAGCAACGGCGGGAGCGAGCGCGGGGCCGGGCCGCGGAGCUGGCGCGGGGGGAAGCUGCGGCGGGGGCCGAGCGCAGGGAGCGCUGGGAAAGCGCUCACGUGGGCUGCGGGCGGGCGGCACCAAGAGCGCCGCGCAAAUAGGGGUGUGGCGCGGCGCACCUUCCGCCUCUCCCGCCUCGACGGAACGGGAGGACGCGGCCGCCUCCCCUCCGCCUUGCGGCAGGUGGUGCGUGCCGGCACUCAGGCCCGGCCUCGCCACGGCCCCCCCGCGCGGCGCCGGCUUGGUAUGCGCCGGGCUGCGGCAGCGCGGCAAGGCGGGCGCGGCCCCCGGCAUCGCCGCGCCGUGGUAGGCGCCUCCGGGGGCGGGCUGUGGCCCGGCUCGGGGAGCGGAGCCUGCCGGUACUCGUGCGGCCCUGCGGGGCUGUCCGUCUCCGGGUCGCUCCUUUGCAGCUCUUCCCGCUUCGGCUUUUCCUUCGUGUUCGCGCAGCGCUCUGUUGGCGGGGCUGACGGACAAAGGGCGGUGUGGGAGCGGGGUUGUCGGGCUGAGCCUGGCGGGGCAGCUGCCUGAUGUGCGCCCGUCUGACUCCUGUGCCGGGGAGAGCUGUGGAGAAAGGCGAGGCUUUGUGCUUUGGAGCCCCGUCCUGCGGCCUCGCUGGGCUGUGAGGGGCCCGUCCUGUGCUGGGGAGGGCGUGGGAGAGCACAGGGAGACCAGCGGCAGGGAGAGCUGCAGGUUGGCAUAACGGCCCUGCGGGUUUAACUGAAACGAGGGGUGAAACGCCACUCUUAGUUCUUCAGUGAAGUGCUACAGCACAUAACGUUGGAUUUCUUUCAUAUAGCUUGUUAUAAGAACAUACGUUGUAUAAUCAAUGAGUAUAUAGACGUAAAAUCAGUGACAAUACAGAGAAGAAUACUGGGCUUACCAAAAAAAAGACUCCACGAGGAGCCAUCUCCAGGGAGAGACCCCUCCCCAGCGGCAGUCAGCCCUGGAAUGGGCUCUAGCAGAGGUGCAGCCUGGCUGCAGCCCUUCCACUCACACAGCUCAACUGCCUUCACCUGUGCUCCCACGGCUGACUCAGCGCUCGCCUCAGGUGGUCAAUCAGAGGUUCAGGCCGUGAUUCAACAGGGAGCAGCACGCCAGCACUGUUUCCUAGAACCUGUCGCUUACUGUGCAGGCAGCACAGUGCUUGGGAAAAGCUUUACCUGGUGUUCAUCAUGAGUAGGAGUCGUCCCCACCUGUGAAGCCUGGGUUCCUGAUGGAGAAGUUGCUGAUCCUCCUCACCUGUGUCAUCUGAGUGGUUUAGAGGAAUCAUGCCAUCGGACACAGAUCAGUAAUGCUUGUUGCUUGAUCCAACUGCUGUAUAGCUGAUGAAUUCAUGGAUUUAAGACAAAUAAUCCGUAUUUCAUUACUAGCAAGUGCUAGAAAUAAAAAUGUACUCUGCACUAUUGCUUGGAAAAACAAAUCCUGAAGUCGUAAGAGAGGAUUAAAGUUGGAAAAAAAUCUCUCAAGAGAAAAACGAAGGGAGUAAUGACAUCUGCUUAGCAGCAUCCAGCCCCUCAGCCUGCAGCACGGACCUCUGGAGCCCUUACACACGGAAUAAAAGGGGAUGCAGUGAGUGAGGAGCAGCAGAACUGCAAGCAGAGCAGCGCUACUGGUGGUGGUGUUCUACCAUGGCAGUAAACAAAGCCAUCGGUUGCAGACUUCUGCACCAAUUCAGGUGGCUCCAUUGAAGGUGUAAGAUUGGAGGUGUGAGGUUUCUCAGCAGUGGGACGUUACCACCUAGCUGUGAGCUGGCUUUGCUCUGGUGGGCGUCCUGCUGUUCCCCCACAGUGAGCUGUGUUCUGGUUCUGUUGGAAGGCUGCCCGGUCCUUCUGCCGGGUUUAUAUUCCACUUAAACGCGUGGCUAUUCAAGUGACCAACCUUUUGGAGUGUCUCGUUUGGCUUUGCCUUAAACGUUUGCUGCUCCUACCCCUUCCCCCCUUCCUACAGAGGCCUUUUUAUAGGUGGCCUGUAGUGCCAUAUAGUUUUUGCUUAGAGUUGAGCAUUUUCCUAAGCUUAUGGGGUUAACCACGAUUAUGGGAGAGUUCUUGAAGCAUUUUUGAAUGUAAUGCUUUUAUUUAAUGUUUGUAAGCAAGUUCAAAGGUGUCAGAUACAAAUGUCCCAGUAUGGCACAAGGACGAGACGUGGCAUUGGGGAUUGGGCUGUUCUGUUGCUAGUGCACACAAAUGUGGCAAUGAACUUUUUCCCUCGUGCUUUAGAGCAUUAAAACAGCUGUUUUGGAUCAGAGCAAAGUGGGCAGCAGCUGUGGCAGUGAUCUGCCUGUGAUUAGUGGGCUCAGGCACUCGUGGAGUCACAGAUGGGCUUUGUGCUCUUAAGGGCACUGUGCUUUUAGGGCUCCCGCUUUUGCACCAGUGUGCUUCUUAAAGUGCUAAAAGUUUUCCCAGCUGGAAGUCCUCACAGCAUCACACAGCAAAGAGCUCUGGGUAUCAGCAUCCACACAAAGGCACCGCGCAGUCCGCCUGUGUUCCAAUGGGCACAAACAGCACUGAUUGCGUAUUAAAGCCAUUGUCACCAUCACAACCUGGGAGGAGAGCAGAGUGCCAGGACGCUGCAGGACCCCGAAGAUUAUGUCUUAUAAAUAAACAGCUCAAAUUUGUCUGAAGCCUCAGCGUGCGAUGUAUGGAGCGUUGCAUUCUGACCGUGUUACGCCAAGAUUGCUGCUAAUGGCUUUUGGCAGCACAGCCACCAAGUCAGAAAGCUGAGAUGAUUGCAGAUUGUCUGCUUCCAUACACAUCAUACAGCUGCCUGGAAGACGGUGGAGGCAGCGCCUAAUUGAUGUUUGUUCUUGUCAAUGCGUGAUCGGGUUUUGAUGCAAGGUUCUCCUCUUUUGUGCUCUUCUGGUCAAAUUUUCGUUUAAAUUUGUAUUCUGUGCUGAACAGUAGUGCCAGCAGAACCAUAAGCGAGGAGUUUAAAUUUAGGAUGUGUUGCAGAAAUCCAAAAAUGCUUUACUGUUUGGGUAAAAACGUUUUUGUGUUUUUUUUUCCCCUUCAGCUGCUGCUCUGCAUGCCGUAAAACAGCAAUCCGAAGGGUUUGCUCUGAAAGCAUCUCUUUGUGCCCUGGGCCAGUGACCCCACUGCUGUGCCAGUAAAUCAUGGCAAGCUGGAGGAAUCUCCCUGAUUUCUGAGCUCCUAAUCCCGCAAAGCCUGUAAAUGAUGGCUGGCUUAGCUUUGUUUCUGAUAAAACGAGGCUUAUGAGAUGAUGACAUUUGCUGCCUGUUUCUCCUCCGCUCCGUUCCGUGUCACCACCCAAGAGAUCUCUGGAGCCCAUCAGUGCAAGGCUGUGUGCCUAGUGCUACAACACUACCGCGUGCUGGAGAGCAGGGAGGAGCCUGGGUGAAUGUAUGGGAAUGAAUUUGGCUGUGUUAGCACUCCGAUCCCCUUCUGCAUGAUGUGCUUCCCCUGUUCUGCAGUGUCUGAUGCAGGUAUUGGGUCAGCCCAGUGAUGUUUGCUUCCUGGAGAGCACGCAUGGAACCUGCUGAUGGAGUUUGUUAACAGCCCCGCUGUUCCUUAAGCCAAGCUGGGUUUUUGCUUUGAUAAAACCUCUGGGCAUGGUGUGUGGCUGUACAGAGUGUGAGAACUCAGGGAGGUUCUUUACUCUGAGAGUGGCGAGGUGCUGAACAGCUGCCCAGAGAGGCUGUGGAUGCCCCGUCCAUCCCUGGAGGUGUUCAAGGCCAGGUUGGAUGGGCCCUGGGCAGCCUGGGC